rnacentral:rRNA from 1 species
GUCCUACGGGAGGCAGCAGUGGGGGAUAUUGCACAAUGGGGGAAACCCUGAUGCAGCGACGCCGCGUGGGUGAAGAAGCGCCUCGGCGCGUAAAGCCCUGUCAGCAGGGAGGAAAAUGACGGUACCUGAAGAAGAAGCCCCGGCUAACUACGUGCCAGCAGCCGCGGUAAUACGUAGGGGGCAAGCGUUAUCCGGAUUUACUGGGUGUAAAGGGAGCGUAGACGGCUGUGCAAGUCUGAAGUGAAAUGCCGGGGCUCAACCCCGGAACUGCUUUGGAAACUGUACAGCUAGAGUGCAGGAGGGGG